rnacentral:rRNA from 1 species
UACAGACAGUGCGAGCGUUAUUCAGAUUGAUUGGGCGUAAAAGGUAUGUAGGCGGUCACUUGAAAGAAAUGCGAAAAGCUAGAGUAUAACUGUAGACGGGCAUUUUACGAUUAUUUGACUAGAGUUAAGAAGGGGUCGAAAGAAAUUCUUUUGUAGGGGUAAAAUCCAGCAAUAAUUGAAUGAAUACCAAAGGCGAAGGCAUUCUUCUACUCUUAACUGACGCUGAGGUACGAAAGCCUGGGGAGCAAACAGG